rnacentral:lncRNA from 1 species
GUUGUUGUUGUUGCUAUUUCUUGGGCCGCUCCCGUGGCAUAUGGAGGUUCCCAGGCUAGGGGUUGAAUCGGAGCUGUAGCCACCGGCCUACACCAGAGCCACAGCAAGCAGGAUUCGAGCCGCGUCUGCAACCUACACCACAGCUCACCGCAACGCCGGAUCGUUAACCCACUGAGCAAGGGCAGGGUUCGAACCUGCAACCUCAUGGUUCCUAGUCGGAUUCGUUAACCACUGCGCCACGACGGGAACUCCAAACUAUAUUUUUCAUUCUAGACAAUAUAGUUUUCCUCUCUAGAAGUUUGAUUUGGCUCUUUACCAAAUCUUCCAUGUCUUUAAUUAACCUUUUCAGCAUAUGGAGUACAGUUAUAACAGUUGUUUUAAAGUCCUUGUCUGCUCUUCUAACAUAUGCAUUAGUUUCAGGUCUGUUUUACUGAUUGGCUAUAAUCCUCAUUAAGGGUCACAUUUUUUUGCUUCUCUGCAUGCCUCCUAAGUUUCCACUGGAUGCCAGACCUUGUGAAUUUUACUUUUAUCCUGUUCUUAAGGUUUGUUCUGGAAUACAGUUAUGCUACUUGGAAACAAUUUGAUCCUCUUGGGUCUUGCUUUUAAGAUUUGUUAAAUGGGACCAGAGCUGUGCUCAAUUGAGGGCUAAUUAAUUAUUUCCCAAGUAAAGCCCCUUCUGAGUGGUCUAGCCAAUACUCUGUGAAUUAUGAGGGUUUCCAGUUUGGCUGAGGGGAACAGGCAGUUUCCCAGCCCUGAGUCAGCACAGAGAACUGGUUUCUCUAAUCCUAAGUUUAGGGCUCCUGUCCCCAACAUAGGGUAGUUCCCUUACACAUGCACUGAUCUCUCUGAAUCGCUCCCCCUGCAGAUCUCCAGGGCUUUCUUUUUGUGUAGCUCUCUCCUCUCCAGCACUUUGCUGUGGCUCCAGCUGUCCUUGUCUCUCCAGACUCUCAGCAAUGUCUCCUCAGUUCAGGAUGUCUGUCAGGCUCUGCAUUGGUCUCCCCUCUGCGCACUUUGGCCUAGAAACUCUCAGGAGGCAGUCAACUGGGUUAAUUUUAUUUGCUUCCCAACCCUUGGGGAUCACUGUCCUUUACUAUCUCAUGUUCUUUUAAAAAAAUUGUUCAUGUGUUUUAUUCAUUCUGUUGUUGUUGUUUCAAGUGUUAGGGUAAACAGACUCAUAGUCCACUGAAAUAACCCCCAAAUAACUGUAAUUGGACUUAUAAUAGGAUGAGUCUUUUAAGAUAAGUACAAACUAAAUAUUAUAAGGAUUCAAAAAGAGAGAGAGAGAAAUUAGUUUGCAGUCUUUUUUGGAGGGAUAGCCCUGUGUCAAGCCUUAAGGUGUCAGUGGAUGUGGACUUGCAUGGGUGAAAGUGAACCGUAAAGCAUGCAUAGUUUUGUGAAAAUGUUUCCAGCAUUAAUUCUAUAUAUUUCAUGAUUCAUAAUAGAAAGUAUUCAGUUCUAUGGAAGAG